GGGCUUCUGCUCUUCUCGUGACGGCCUUUUUUUCCACUGGCCUAUAACUCUUCCGAGGGGGCUGGCUCUGUCAGGGCCCUGGUCCUGUUACCCGGCUCCCACCUGGACAUCCAGGCUUUCGGGGAAACCUGCGUCGGCACGGUUGCUGCGGUUCCCGC
rnacentral:misc_RNA from 1 species